rnacentral:rRNA from 1 species
UAGGGAAUCUUCCACAAUGGACGCAAGUCUGAUGGAGCAACGCCGCGUGAGUGAGGAAGGGUUUCGGCUCGUAAAGCUCUGUUGUUAAAGAAGAACGUGGGUAAGAGUAACUGUUUACCCAGUGACGGUAUUUAACCAGAAAGCCACGGCUAACUACGUGCCAA